rnacentral:rRNA from 1 species
AUUGAACGCUGGCGGCAGGCCUAACACAUGCAAGUCGAGCGGGGUUUUCGGACCUAGCGGCGGACGGGUGAGUAAUGCGUAGGAAGCUGCCCGAUAGAGGGGGAUACCAGUUGGAAACGACUGUUAAUACCGCAUAAUGUCUACGGACCAAAGUGUGGGACCUUCGGGCCACAUGCUAUCGGAUGCGCCUACGUGGGAUUGGCUAGUUGGUGAGGUAAUGGCUCACCAAGGCGACGAUCUUUAGCCGGUUUGAGAGGAUGAACAGCCACACUGGAAAUGAGAAAAGGUCCAGACACCUACGGGGGGCCGGAGUGGGGAAUAUUGGACAAUGGGCGAAAGCCUGAUCCAGCAGUGCCGCGUGCGUGAAGAAGGCCUUCGGGUUGUAAAGCGCUUUUGUCAGGGAGGAAGGGCUGUAGGUUAAUACCCUGCGGUUUUGACGUUACCGACAGAAUAAGCACCGGCUAACUUCGUGCCAGCCGCCGCAGUAAAAC